AACCAGGUAGAGAUUUCCUGUGGACCCUGCCUCCAUCUGCCUAUGGCUGUCACUCUUCAGCACCCUGGAUCAGAGAGGGGUUAUUUAUUGAUCUUUUCACAAUUUUCCACAUAUCAUUUCAAGGUCACAAAAGUCCUGUGUGUGUCCCCAGAUGCACAUAUCUCCAGUUUCACCAAGGCCCCAAAAGCUCAAUGGGGCCUCUCAUCUCUCUCAGGAGUCUACUGAAGCACAAAGCAUUUCCAGCCACUUACAUCCCUUUUGUGCACUGAAAAAUACAGCUAGUCCUUUACAGGGUUUAUGUACUGAGGGAGUUUGUCCUCCUUAUUG